rnacentral:rRNA from 1 species
GUUGUAUGGUUAAGUGACUAAGCGUACACGGUGGAUGCCUUGGCAGUCAGAGGCGAUGAAAGACGUAGUAACUUGCGAUAAGCCCAGAUUAGGUAGUAACAACCAUUUGAGUCUGGGAUUUCUGAAUGGGGAAACCCACUUACAUAAGUAAGUAUCGCUGCGUGAAUACAUAGCGCAGCGAGGCGAACCGGGGGAACUGAAACAUCUAAGUACCCCGAGGAAAAGAAAUCAACCGAGAUUCCGAAAGUAGCGGCGAGCGAAAUUGGACUAGCCCUUAAGCUUUACACGCGUUAGACGAACGGUCUGGAAAGUCCGACGAUACAGGGUGAUAGUCCCGUAGUUGACGACGUGUGUUCAGUGAAAUCGAGUAGGGCGGGACACGUGAUAUCCUGUCUGAAUAUGGGGGGACCAUCCUCCAAGGCUAAAUACUACUGACUGACCGAUAGUGAACCAGUACCGUGAGGGAAAGGCGAAAAGAACCCCUGUGAGGGGAGUGAAAUAGAACCUGAAACCGUGUACGUACAAGCAGUAGGAGCAGGCUUGUCCUGUGACUGCGUACCUUUUGUAUAAUGGGUCAGCGACUUAUAUUCAGUGGCAAGGUUAACCAUCUAGGGGAGCCGUAGGGAAACCGAGUCUUAACUGGGCGUUCAGUCUCUGGAUAUAGACCCGAAACCAGGUGAUCUAGCCAUGGGCAGGUUGAAGGUUGAGUAACAUCAACUGGAGGACCGAACCGACUAAUGUUGAAAAAUUAGCGGAUGACUUGUGGCUAGGGGUGAAAGGCCAAUCAAACCUGGAGAUAGCUGGUUCUCCCCGAAAGCUAUUUAGGUAGCGCCUCGGACGAAUACUACUGGGGGUAGAGCACUGUUAAGGCUAGGGGGUCAUCCCGACUUACCAACCCUUUGCAAACUCCGAAUACCAGUAAGUACUAUCCGGGAGACACACGGCGGGUGCUAACGUCCGUCGUGGAGAGGGAAACAACCCAGACCGCCAGCUAAGGUCCCAAAUUACUACUAAGUGGGAAACGAUGUGGGAAGGCUCAGACAGCCAGGAUGUUGGCUUAGAAGCAGCCAUCAUUUAAAGAAAGCGUAAUAGCUCACUGGUCGAGUCGGCCUGCGCGGAAGAUGUAACGGGGCUAAGUAGUAAACCGAAGCUGCGGCAAUAUACUUUUGUAUAUUGGGUAGGGGAGCGUUCUGUAAGCGGUUGAAGGUGUGUGGUAACGCAUGCUGGACGUAUCAGAAGUGCGAAUGCUGACAUGAGUAACGAUAAAGGGGGUGAAAAACCUCCUCGCCGGAAGACCAAGGGUUCCUGUCCAACGUUAAUCGGGGCAGGGUAAGUCGACCCCUAAGGCGAGGCCGAAAGGCGUAGUCGAUGGGAAACGGGUUAAUAUUCCCGUACUUCUUACAAUUGCGAUGGGGGGACGGAGAAGGCUAGGUGGGCCUGGCGACGGUUGUCCAGGUUCAAGUGCGUAGGCUUAAGAGUUAGGUAAAUCCGGCUCUUUUUAAGGCUGAGACACGACGUCGAGCACCUACGGGUGUGAAGUCAUUGAUGCCAUGCUUCCAGGAAAAGCCUCUAAGCUUCAGAUUGUAAGGAAUCGUACCCCAAACCGACACAGGUGGUCGGGUAGAGAAUACCAAGGCGCUUGAGAGAACUCGGGUGAAGGAACUAGGCAAAAUGGUACCGUAACUUCGGGAGAAGGUACGCUCUUGAUGGUGAAGUCCCUUGCGGAUGGAGCUGACGAGAGUCGCAGAUACCAGGUGGCUGCAACUGUUUAUUAAAAACACAGCACUGUGCAAAAUCGUAAGAUGACGUAUACGGUGUGACGCCUGCCCGGUGCCGGAAGGUUAAUUGAUGGGGUUAGACUUCGGUCGAAGCUCUUGAUCGAAGCCCCGGUAAACGGCGGCCGUAACUAUAACGGUCCUAAGGUAGCGAAAUUCCUUGUCGGGUAAGUUCCGACCUGCACGAAUGGCGUAAUGAUGGCCACGCUGUCUCCACCCGAGACUCAGUGAAAUUGAAAUCGCUGUGAAGAUGCAGUGUACCCGCGGCUAGACGGAAAGACCCCGUGAACCUUUACUACAGCUUGGCACUGAACAUUGACCCUACAUGUGUAGGAUAGGUGGGAGGCUUUGAAGCAAGUACGCCAGUAUUUGUGGAGCCGUCCUUGAAAUACCACCCUUGUAGUGUUGAUGUUCUAACGUCGACCCCUAAUCGGGGUUGCGGACAGUGCCUGGUGGGUAGUUUGACUGGGGCGGUCUCCUCCCAAAGAGUAACGGAGGAGCACGAAGGUGGGCUAAUCACGGUUGGACAUCGUGAGGUUAGUGCAAUGGCAUAAGCCCGCUUGACUGCGAGAAUGACAAUUCGAGCAGGUGCGAAAGCAGGUCAUAGUGAUCCGGUGGUUCUGAAUGGAAGGGCCAUCGCUCAACGGAUAAAAGGUACUCCGGGGAUAACAGGCUGAUACCGCCCAAGAGUUCAUAUCGACGGCGGUGUUUGGCACCUCGAUGUCGGCUCAUCACAUCCUGGGGCUGAAGUCGGUCCCAAGGGUAUGGCUGUUCGCCAUUUAAAGUGGUACGCGAGCUGGGUUUAGAACGUCGUGAGACAGUUCGGUCCCUAUCUGCCGUGGGCGUUGGAAGAUUGAAGGGGGCUGCUCCUAGUACGAGAGGACCGGAGUGGACGAACCUCUGGUGUUCGGGUUGUGUCGCCAGACGCAUUGCCCGGUAGCUAAGUUCGGAAUCGAUAACCGCUGAAAGCAUCUAAGCGGGAAGCGAGCCCUGAGAUGAGUCUUCCCUGAUACUUUAAGUAUCCUAAAGGGUUGUCGGAGACUACGACGUUGAUAGGUCAGGUGUGUAAGUGCUGUGAGGCAUUGAGCUAACUGAUACUAAUUGCCCGUGAGGCUUAACCAUACAACACCCAAGGGGUUU